GUGGGAGACUUCCGUCUGCUACCUCUUACCCAUGUCUUUUGAGUACCUUCGUUUCCUCGGCGGGUCCGCCCGCCGGUUGGACAACAUUCAAACCCUUUGCAGAUGCAAUCAGCGUCUGAAAAAACAUAAUAGUUACAACUUUCAACAACGGAUCUCUUGGUUCUGGCAUCGAUGAAGAACGCAGCGAAAUCCGAUAAGUAGUGUGAAUUGCAGAAUUCAGUGAAUCAUCGAUUCUUUGAACGCACAUUGCGCCCCUUGGUAUUCCAUGGGGCAUGCCUGUUCGAGCGUCAUUUGUACCUUCAAGCUCUGCUUGGUGUUGGGUGUUUUGUCUCGCCUCCGCGUGUAGACUCGCCUUAAAACAAUUGGCAGCCGGCGUAUUGAUUUCGGAGCGCAGUACAUCUCGCGCUUUGCACUCAUAACGACGACGUCCAAAAGUACAUUUUUACACUCUUGACCUCGGAUCAGGUAGGGAUACCCGCUGAACUUAAGCAUAUCAAUAAGCGGAAGGAUCAUUACUAUAGUUUGCGACUUCGUCGCUACUCUUACCAUGUCUUUUGAGUACUUCUUUCUCGGCGGGUCGCCGCGGUUGGAAACAUUCAACUUUGCGUGCAUACUCGAAAAAAAUAAUAUUCAACUUUACACGAUCCUGGUUUGGCAUCAGAAAAAAACAAAUGGAUAAUAUGGAAUGAAAUCGAAUACAAUCUUAAGCAUUGCCUGGUAUUCGGGGCCGCGUUCACUAUUGUCUUCGCUCGCUGGUGUUGGGUGUUUGUCUCCCCGCAAUCAUAAACAUUGCGCGCUAUGGAUUUCUACAAAUCGCUGUGUCUAAGCACUAAAUAAUUUUACCUCUGACUCGAUCGGUAGGAUCCCUGAACUUACAACUAUGCGC
rnacentral:rRNA from 1 species